rnacentral:rRNA from 1 species
CGUAGGGUGCGAGCGUUAAUCGGAAUUACUGGGCGUAAAGUGUGCGCAGGCGGCUUCGCAAGUCGAGUGUGAAAUCCCCGAGCUUAACUUGGGAAUUGCGCUCGAAACUACGGAGCUGGAGUGUGGCAGAGGAAGGUGGAAUUCCACGUGUAGCGGUGAAAUGCGUAGAGAUGUGGAGGAACACCGAUGGCGAAGGCAGCCUUCUGGGCCAACACUGACGCUCAUGCACGAAAGCGUGGGGAGCAAACAGGAUUAGAUACCCUGGUAGUCCACGCCCUAAACGAUGAUGACUAGUUGUCGGAGGAGUUAAAUCCUUUAGUAACGCAGCUAACGCGUGAAGUCAUCCGCCUGGGGAGUACGGUCGCAAGAUUA